rnacentral:rRNA from 1 species
GUCCACACCGUAACGUUGGGCGCUAGGUGUGGGAUCCAUUCCACGGGUUCCGUGCCGCAGCUAACGCAUUAAGCGCCCCGCCUGGGGAGUACGGCCGCAAGGCUAAACUCAAAGGAAUUGACGGGGCCCGCACAAGCGGCGGAGCAUGCGGAUUAAUUCGAUGCAACGCGAAGAACCUUACCUGGGUUUGACAUACGCCGGAAAGCUCUAGAGAUAGAGCCCCUUUUAGUCGGUGUACAGGUGGUGCAUGGCUGUCGU